GAUGAACGCUGGCGGCGUGCCUAAUACAUGCAAGUCGAGCGAACAGAUAAGGAGCUUGCUCCUUUGACGUUAGCGGCGGACGGGUGAGUAACACGUGGGUAACCUACCUAUAAGACUGGGAUAACUUCGGGAAACCGGAGCUAAUACCGGAAAACAUUUGGAACCGCAUGGUUCUAAAGUGAAAGAUGGUUUUGCUAUCACUUAUAGAUGGACCCGCGCCGUAUUAGCUAGUUGGUAAGGUAACGGCUUACCAAGGCGACGAUACGUAGCCGACCUGAGAGGGUGAUCGGCCACACUGGAACUGAGACACGGUCCAGACUCCUACGGGAGGCAGCAGUAGGGAAUCUUCCGCAAUGGGCGAAAGCCUGACGGAGCAACGCCGCGUGAGUGAUGAAGGGUUUCGGCUCGUAAAACUCUGUUAUUAGGGAAGAACAAAUGUGUAAGUAACUGUGCACGUCUUGACGGUACCUAAUCAGAAAGCCACGGCUAACUACGUG
rnacentral:rRNA from 1 species